AUUGAACGCUGGCGGCAUGCCUUACACAUGCAAGUCGAACGGCAGCACGGGUGCUUGCACCUGGUGGCGAGUGGCGAACGGGUGAGUAAUACAUCGGAACAUGUCCUGUAGUGGGGGAUAGCCCGGCGAAAGCCGGAUUAAUACCGCAUACGAUCUACGGAUGAAAGCGGGGGACCUUCGGGCCUCGCGCUAUAGGGUUGGCCGAUGGCUGAUUAGCUAGUUGGUGGGGUAAAGGCCUACCAAGGCGACGAUCAGUAGCUGGUCUGAGAGGACGACCAGCCACACUGAGACUGAGACACGGCCCAGACUCCUACGGGAGGCAGCAGUGGGGAAUUUUGGACAAGGGGCGAAAGCCUGAUCCAGCAAUGCCGCGUGUGGGAAGAAGGCCUUCGGGUUGUAAAGCACUUUUGUCCGGAAAGAAAUCCUUGGCCCUAAUACGGUCGGGGGAUGACGGUACCGGAAGAAUAAGCACCGGCUAACUACGUG
rnacentral:rRNA from 1 species